rnacentral:rRNA from 1 species
UACGUAGGGGGCAAGCGUUGUCCGGAUUUAUUGGGCGUAAAGAGCGUGUAGGCGGCCAGGUAGGUCAGCUGUGAAAACUCGAGGCUCAACCUCGAGACGUCGGUUGAAACCACCUGGCUAGAGUCCGGAAGAGGAGAGUGGAAUUCCUGGUGUAGCGGUGAAAUGCGCAGAUAUCAGGAAGGACACCCGUGGCUAAGGCGGCUCUCUAGUACGGUACUGACGCUGAGACGCGAAAGCGUGGGGGAGCGAACAGG